rnacentral:rRNA from 1 species
CCUACGGGUGGCAGCAGCAAGGAAUUUUCCCCAAUGGGCGCAAGCCUGAGGGAGCAACGUCGCGUGGAGGAAGACGGCCUUCGGGUUGUAAACUCCUUUUGCGGGGGAAGAUACUGACGGUACCCCGCGAACAAGCCCCGGCUAACUCCGUGCCAGCAGCCGCGGUAAGACGGAGGGGGCAAGCGUUGUCCGGAAUCACUGGGCGUAAAGCGCGUGUAGGUGGUACAGUGCGUCGGCGCUGAAACCUCUGGGCUCAACCCAGAGACGCGUGCCGAUACGACUGCACUUGAGGCAGGCAGAGGGUAGCGGAAUUCCGGGUGUAGUGGUGAAAUGCGUAGAGAUCCGGAGGAACGCCUGUAGCGAAAGCGGCUACCUGGGCCUGACCUGACACUGAGACGCGACAGCGUGGGGAGCGAACCGGAUUAGAUACCCGAGUAGUC